AAUUGGAGGGCAAGUCUGGUGCCAGCAGCCGCGGUAAUUCCAGCUCCAAUAGCGUAUAUUAAAGUUGUUGCAGUUAAAAAGCUCGUAGUUGAAUUUCGGGAUCAAUAUUUCGGUCAUGCCGUUGGUAUGCACUGUUAUCAUUGAUUUCUCACCUUCUAAAGAACCGUAAUGCCAUUAAUUUGGUGUUACGGGGAAUUAGGACUGUUACCUUGAAAAAAUUAGAGUGUUUAAAGCAGGCUCACGCUUGAAUACAUUAGCAUGGAAUAAUGAAAUAGGACAUCCGAUUCUAUUUUGUUGGUUUCUAGGAUCGAUGUAAUGAUUAAUAGGGAUAGUUGGGGGCAUUAGUAUUCAAUUGUCAGAGGUGAAAUUCUUGGAUUUAUUGAAGACUAACUACUGCGAAAGCAUUUGCCAAGGAUGUUUUCAUUAAUCAAGAACGAAAGUUAGGGGAUCGAGGACGAUCAGAUACCGUCGUAGUCUUAACCAUAAACUAUGCCGACUAGGGAUCGGAUGAUGUUAAUUUUUUAAUGACUCAUUCGGCGCCUUACGGGAAACCAAAGUGU
rnacentral:rRNA from 1 species